UCCCACUACGGUUCUGCCGUGCAGGAUGUGCUAGAUAAUUUAGUGUAUAGUUUUAGGUCAUUUUGUUGCAUUGCUAGGUGUAAAAUCUCGUUGGUGUAAAAGUUGGUGCCCGUGCGCUAACCGGGACAGUGGAGCAUUCUUUGUAGAGCAGGGAAGCAACCACACAAUACUCGCUGGACUGAUUCUUUCUUGCGACGUCGGAAGGCACAACUUUGACCCAAUAAACAAUGAGUGUGGUGGGCAAGAAGCUUGGCUCGUCGAUGUCGGCCCAAGGGGGCACAUCGGGAGAAGCGGAAGCUGCUGGCGAAUCACCCGCGACUCCAACGUCCAGUCGGCCCAUCCCGAGCACCAUCACACCCGAUUACGUGUUGCAGUUGAACAAAAUCGCCGACGAUUACCUCUGCACACCGGAUGCAAACAUUUACGAGAUCGAUUUUACACGGUUUAAAAUCCGCGACCUGGAGUCGGGUGCUGUCCUGUUUGAGAUAGCGAAACCGUCGGUUAGCGACAUUGCCCAAAGCGCCAGCGAAAACAAGGCAAGUGCGAACGAGGCAGCGACCGCGUCAGGUGCGCAGCAGGCGGCGUCGAUUGGUAGCGAGAAUCCGACGACGGCUGUGGCGACCUCCUCCGCCCCACCGACCGAAGAUGCGGAGGAAACAUUCGAACCAAAUGCUGGCCGCUACGUUCGGUAUCAAUUUACGCCGCAAUUUCUAAAACUAAAAACCGUCGGUGCAACGGUAGAGUUCACGGUUGGCAGUAAAAGUGUGAAAAACUUUCGAAUGAUUGAACGGCACUUUUUCAAGGAUCGGUUGCUGAAAACGUUCGACUUCGAGUUUGGAUACUGCAUUCCCUAUUCUAAAAAUACCUGCGAACACAUCUACGAGUUUCCCACUAUCCCGCCAGAUUUGGUAAACGAAAUGAUUCAGCAUCCGUUCGAGACGCGCUCGGAUAGUUUUUACUUUGUCGACGGUUGCCUAGUGAUGCACAACAAGGCCGACUACGCCUACAACGGUGGUCUGUGAGCACGGGAACGGCAACGAGGGCGAAACCGAAAAGUGAUGUAAACCGCGAUUUACGAUUUUUGCCAGAUGUUACUGCUGGCCAUUUUAUAAUUGUUUAUUUGUGUUUGUCGAUUUGAAGAAAAAACCCCUUGAACUCCUUUGAGGUGUUUCUGGCACGAGUGUUUACGUCUGUGUAAGUGUGUAAAUGUGUGUGCGUGUGUGUCUGCACAUACAGUUAAGGAUUUGUUUUUUGCAUCCUAAACGUACGACGAAGUCGGAAGUGUCGGUGGCCUGUUCGUCAAUUCCUAUAAUACAGCGAGUGCUGCCUGGCAAAGCAAACAUCCACCGCAAACUGACGCUGGGCAGCCAGAAGGUAGCAACGUGUUCAUUUAGAAGACAUCGGCCGCAAACUGACCAAAUGAAGGGCAUGAUUUAUGGAGACGGGAAAACGGAAAAUUUAAACACUCUUCUCCCCUACGAGAUAAGCGUCACGAGCUAAACCGAAGACCAAUAAGAAGACGAAAAAAAUAACCAAAACAGGUUAACCUGAGAAUUUAAAACGCAGGAGUAUCUAAGAAAAAAUAUGGCAUAAUUAAAAGAAAUAAUAACGUAAGCAACCACAACUAGCAGUCGCGAAAGCGGUAGAGAAGUAAAAGGUAGAUGAAACAAGCAUAGAUAAAUGCACCGAUAAGACAAACCACCCAGGCAGCAGUUGUUUUAGGUACGUACAUAGCAAAACCCGUAAACUAGUCCACAUGUCCUUAAAAUAAGCGUGGAAACGCUUCCAUAUGUUGUACAGCACACGAGCACGUGUGUUUGCUGGCAACUUUAAACACAAACACACACACACAUCCUAGGGUGGCAAGGAAAGAACUGAGUUGAAGUAAAUCCUUAAUAACGAGACGAACUUAAUACACACCCUGCGCGAUCAUGGAAAAUUCAGGAGUCCAGAAAGGAGAGAGGAGGAUCGGUAGAUUGUGAUAGAUCGGACAGAUGUUAGAGCACUUUACAGUACCACCUUUUUAAAAUACACCUUCUUGCCCGCUAGCAAGGUAAUAGAAGUUGUUCGUACACCAUUCGUUUCAGAGAACUCGGAGGAGCCAAACGUCGAUGUACGUGGUUUAGUGGAGGUGUAUUUUCGUAUCAGUUGAUUUGUGGAAAGCGUAAUCGACUUUGAAAUGUUUGAAAAAUGUUUAUGCAUUUUGUUUUCUGUAAGAAUACGGAUCUCUUUGAAACGACAGCAGUUUAUUUAAUAUGAGUUGUUUUUAGUUUGUUUGUUCAGGGUUUUCUAGUCACAUUAGUUCACUGCCCUGUGUUGUUUUGCGUUUGCGAUCUUCGUUUAGAUCGACAUAGCUUUAAGAACAUUGUUAUAAUUUAUAAAUACAAGCUUUUCCAAAUUAUUUUAUUAUUUUAUGCUUAUGUUAUGAACAUGACAAACAGGUGUCUGACUAUAAUAGUAGUUCGCGAUCUAGCUUGAGGGAGUUAAAAUUAGAAUAAAAUGAAAUAGAAAUCCAACAAAAACCCGUACGUGUCCAGCCGAUUUUAGAACACCGAAAUGAGCGCCGCCCAUUUAAAAGAGAAAAAGGUAAAACAAACGUGUACUGUAAUACGAUACCAGCAAACAGAGAACAAUACGAGAUGAAAUGAAAAAGCAACAAAAAAUAAACUGCAUCGAUCCUACCAAAUAAGUCCUAGAAGAAGUUACUAGCAGCUAGCGGAAGAGCUUGUCUCUCGGAGGUAGGCAUUUGAAAAUUACGAGGGACGACCCGACCGAACGUGGGGGUGGCAAGUGGCCCCCUCGAGUCGAUAAAAGCAUACCAGGCAUACAAUAAUUACUACUAAAAAAAAACAAUUUUAAUUUUUAGCAAAACAAAAGAAAAUCAACCAGCAAAAUAUUUAAUCAAAUCGAAGCGAAGCGUAUCCGCCAGCAAACAUUAAUUAGGAAAAAUGGUAGAAGGGGUCGUUUUUUUUUCGGUGACAUUUUCUUCUGGCAGUGAACUGCAAGGAAAACUAAACCCACUUAUUCUCUUUCUCUCUUUCGGGCUAAAGCUAAAAGCAAGCGAAAUAAGUAAUCCUAAACAGAAGAAACACUGAAAAUCAGUAAAAAACAGUCACCGAUCGAGAAACGCACGAUGUUCGAGCACUGAAAUCUAGCGUAUAGCUGUUUGGAAUUGAUGCUAGGAAUCUAAAUUUCGGUUCAUAAAAAGGUACACAUUUCGUAAAACAAGAAAAUCGAUUAAUACAAAUAAAAAAAACUGAUGCGGCUAGAUGGUAGAGUAGAAGAACGAUGCAAUUUGAUGACGAAUAGUCCGGAAGCCACCGGAGAGCGAUAGAGUAUGGCCGGUACACUAACAAUAUAUCAAAAUCGUUUUAUUUUGUCCCUUUAGGCAAAAAUAAAAUCUUAUCCCAACGCUCCUUCCAUUCAACGCUCGGCUCGUGGUAAUAUGUUUUUCGGUGCAACACCAGUUUGCACAAUUAUACAACCUCAAACAAAUCAUUUCAAAUUGUUUGUAUUUUUAAAACACCCCAAAAAGCACACGCACAUGGUGUGCUCUACGUCCCACGUGUUUUUUUAUCUAGUCCAUCAUCGAGUUAGUUAGUAAGUUAGUGUUCCAUCCCGUUUAGUUUAGUUUUCGUUUUCACCCGAAAUGUUAGCAAAUGCUGUUUGUCCGACCAAUUUAACAAAAAACAAAAAAAAACAAAAUGAUGUGAUCAUUUUUUGCCCUUCUUUUUGCGCCCAGUUUUUAAUUGUGGUUUAGUGGAAAUAAUCAUAAUAAUAAUAGAUAACACAUUGUU